GCCAGUGGUGAUAGCACGUUCAAUGCACUAGUUCCCGACGGAUCUCUGAAGUUAAUUAACGUUGCGUGUGGUCAGUAUCCGGAAUGGGUGAUCAUCUUGACCACCUGCU
rfam:Asian citrus Psyllid, Diaphorina citri - Florida Strain, whole genome shotgun sequence.